GUGGCCUCGGGGCAGGCGGUGGACUUCCAGCCGGCUGCCUGUGCUGGUGGCGGGAUGGUGCCGGCCAAGCCUGGGCGUCGGUGCUCAGCCUGUUCCCUGGAGACUGGACCUGCAGGACUCUUGAGGGACUGGCUGCCCCCGCGUACAGCUGCCCCUGGUCGGGUUGAGCAGCACUUACAGGCAAGUGAGGAUGGAGGCAGCAUGUUCAGCAGUAGAGCCUGCAAGACCCUGUAACCAGGAUUUAAAAGACCUGUACUCAGAAAACUACACAACACUGAAGAAAGAAAUUAAGAACGAC